UCCGGAUCUCAGAUCAAGCAAGAGGACCCGCCGAAU
rnacentral:rRNA from 1 species